rnacentral:lncRNA from 1 species
UGAAGAAGAACAGAAAUGUGACGGUUUAUAACCAACAAACUUACAAAUGUGAUGUUUAUUUUUAAAUUUAUUAAGUAAUUAUUUGACAUUAGCAUUUAAAAUGCUAAUUAUAAUGAAAAUUUAUUACAUUUAUUUAAUUAUAUAUAAAAGAGGUUAAGACUUGAAAUUAAAUACUCUGGAUUCCAACAAUCUGCUGAAAAGUGUACUAUUUGUGGUCACCUUAUAAUGGAAAUGAUUCUCCAAGUUAUGGGAAAAUCUUAUCAUCUUGGAUGCUUUAGAUGCUGCAUAUGUAACGAAUGUCUUGACGGAGUUUCUUUUACCGUCAACGUUGAUAAUAAAAUUUAUUGCGUUAAUGAUUAUCACAUAAUGUUUGCACCAAAAUGUGCAUCAAUUGUAAAGGAAUUACUCCAGUUGAGAUCAAUAUAUAAUAAAAAUACAACUUUAUAAAA